AAGACUAUAGACCUGCGGAGUACCUGCGGAAGGAUCAUUACCGAGUUUUCAACUCCCAAACCCCAUGUGAACUUAUACCAUUUACACCGUUGCUUCGGCGGGUUCUCGCCCCGGGCUUUACAACCCCGGAACCAGGCGGCCCGCCGGGGGACCCAAACUCUAGAUUUUAUUUUAGCAUGUCUGAGUGGAAUCAUUACAAAAUGAAUCAAAACUUUCAACAACGGAUCUCUAGAUCGGAAG
rnacentral:misc_RNA from 1 species